rnacentral:rRNA from 1 species
GACGAACGCUGGCGGCGUGCUUAACACAUGCAAGUCGAACGGAAGGGCCCUGCUUUUGUGGGGUGCUCGAGUGGCGAACGGGUGAGUAACACGUGAGUAACCUGCCCUUGACUUUGGGAUAACUUCAGGAAACUGGGGCUAAUACCGGAUAGGAGCUCCUGCUGCAUGGUGGGGGUUGGAAAGUUUCGGCGGUUGGGGAUGGACUCGCGGCUUAUCAGCUUGUUGGUGGGGUAGUGGCUUACCAAGGCUUUGACGGGUAGCCGGCCUGAGAGGGUGACCGGCCACAUUGGGACUGAGAUACGGCCCAGACUCCUACGGGAGGCAGCAGUGGGGAAUAUUGCACAAUGGGCGGAAGCCUAAUGCAGCAACGCCGCGUGCGGGAUGACGGCCUUCGGGUUGUAAACCGCUUUCGCCUGUGACGAAGCGUGAGUGACGGUAAUGGGUAAAGAAGCACCGGCUAACUACGUG